rnacentral:rRNA from 1 species
CGAGCGAACGGACGAGAAGCUUGCUUCUCUGAUGUUAGCGGCGGACGGGUGAGUAACACGUGGAUAACCUACCUAUAAGACUGGGAUAACUUCGGGAAACCGGAGCUAAUACCGGAUAAUAUUUUGAACCGCAUGGUUCAAAAGUGAAAGACGGUCUUGCUGUCACUUAUAGAUGGAUCCGCGCUGCAUUAGCUAGUUGGUAAGGUAACGGCUUACCAAGGCAACGAUGCAUAGCCGACCUGAGAGGGUGAUCGGCCACACUGGAACUGAGACACGGUCCAGACUCCUACGGGAGGCAGCAGCUUAGGGAAUCUUCCGCAAUGGGCGAAAGCCUGACGGAGCAACGCCGCGUGAGUGAUGAAGGUCUUCGGAUCGUAAAACUCUGUUAUUAGGGAAGAACAUAUGUGUAAGUAACUGUGCACAUCUUGACGGUACCUAAUCAGAAAGCCACGGCUAACUACGUGCCAGCAGCCGCGGUAAUACGUAGGUGGCAAGCGUUAUCCGGAAUUAUUGGGCGUAAAGCGCGCGUAGGCGGUUUUUUAAGUCUGAUGUGAAAGCCCACGGCUCAACCGUGGAGGGUCAUUGGAAACUGGAAUACUUGAGUGCAGAAGAGGAAAGUGGUAUUCCAUGUGUAG